rnacentral:rRNA from 1 species
AGAGUUUGAUCCUGGCUCAGAGCGAACGCUGGCGGCAGGCUUAACACAUGCAAGUCGAGCGGGCCCUUCGGGGUCAGCGGCGGACGGGUGAGUAACGCGUGGGAACGUGCCUUCUGGUCUGGAAUAACCCUGGGAAACUAGGGCUAAUACCGGAUACGCCCUUUUGGGGAAAGGUUUACUGCCGGAAGAUCGGCCCGCGUCUGAUUAGCUAGUUGGUGGGGUAACGGCCUACCAAGGCGACGAUCAGUAGCUGGUCUGAGAGGAUGAUCAGCCACACUGGGACUGAGACACGGCCCAGACUCCUACGGGAGGCAGCAGUGGGGAAUAUUGGACAAUGGGCGCAAGCCUGAUCCAGCCAUGCCGCGUGAGUGAUGAAGGCCUUAGGGUUGUAAAGCUCUUUUAUCCGGGACGAUAAUGACGGUACCGGAGGAAUAAGCCCCGGCUAACUUCGUGCCAGCAGCCGCGGUAAUACGAAGGGGGCUAGCGUUGCUCGGAAUCACUGGGCGUAAAGGGCGCGUAGGCGGCGUUUUAAGUCGGGGGUGAAAGCCUGUGGCUCAACCACAGAAUGGCCUUCGAUACUGGGACGCUUGAGUAUGGUAGAGGUUGGUGGAACUGCGAGUGUAGAGGUGAAAUUCGUAGAUAUUCGCAAGAACACCGGUGGCGAAGGCGGCCAACUGGACCAUUACUGACGCUGAGGCGCGAAAGCGUGGGGAGCAAACAGGAUUAGAUACCCCGGUAGUCC